rnacentral:rRNA from 1 species
UACCAUGGUGGUAACGGGUAACGGGGUGUUAGGGCACGACACCGGAGAGGGAGCCUGGAAACGGGCUACCCCAUCCAAGGAAGGCAGCAGGCGCGCAAAUUACCCAAUCCCGACACGGGGAGGUAGUGACAAUAAAUAACAAUACAGGGCUCUUUUGGGUCUUGUAAUUGGAAUGAGUACAAUUUAAAUCUCUUAACGAGGAACAAUUGGAGGGCAAGUCUGGUGCCAGCAGCCGCGGUAAUUCCAGCUUCAAUAGCGUAUAUUAAAGUUGUUGCAGUUAAAAAGCUCGUAGUUGAAUUUCGGAAUCAAUAUGUCGGUCGUGCUUCGGUACGUACUGGUAUCAUUGGUUUCUCCUUUCUGACGAACCAUGAUGUCAUUAAUUUGGUGUUAUGGGGAGUUAGGACUGUUACUUUGAAAAAAUUAGAGUGUUUAAAGCAGGCUUUAGCUUGAAUACAUUAGCAUGGAAUAAUGAAAUAGGACGUUCGAACCUAUUUUGUUGGCUUCUAGGAUCGACGUAAUGAUUAAUAGGGAUAGUUGGGGGCAUUAGUAUUCAAUUGUCAGAGGUGAAAUUCUUGGAUUUAUUGAAGACUAACUACUGCGAAAGCCUUUCCCAAGGAUGUUUUCAUUAAUCAAGAACGAAAGUUAGGGGAUCGAAGACGAUCAGAUACCGUCGUAGUCUUAACCAUAAACUAUGCCGACUAGGGAUCGGAUGAUGUUAAUUUUUUAAUGACUCAUUCGGCCCCUUACGGGAAACCAAAGUGUUU